rnacentral:sRNA from 1 species
AACUAGCCCGGAUAGAAGCGGCAUCCUUUUUUGUGGCGGACGGAACGGAGAGGAGACCGCUGCAAAAAAGAUACAGCGGAUAGCCGGAUUAGCU